rnacentral:rRNA from 1 species
CCUACGGGUGGCAGCAGUAGGGAAUCUUUCACAAUGGGCGAAAGCCUGAUGGAGCAACGCCGCGUGCAGGAUGAAGGCCUUCGGGUUGUAAACUGCUUUUAUAAGCGAGAAAUAUGAUGGUAACUUAUGAAUAAGGAUCGGCUAACUACGUGCCAGCAACCGCGGUCAUACGUAGGAUCCGAGCAUUAUCAGGAGUGACUGGGUGUAAAGAGUUGCGUAGGUGGCAUAAUAAGUAGCUAGUGAAAUCUGGUGGCUCAACCAUUCAGACUAUUAGCUAAACUGUUAAGCUCGAGACCGUUAGGGGUAACUGGAAUUUCGAGUGUAGGAGUGAAAUCCGUAGAUAUUAGAAGGAACACCAAUAGCGUAGGCAGGUUGCUGGGACGGUUCUGACACUAAGGCGCGAAAGCGUAGGGAGCAAACGGGAUUAGAGACCCGAGUAGUC